UCACUGAGUCGGCCAAUCGUGAUCUCCUUCGUAGCAGAGUCGAAGAUUGUUUUCCACCUCAGUUGUUGCAAUGGAAGGGGAUUUAGAAGGAGGGAGACAUGAACUAGCGAAACCAAAUGAAUGUGCACUUGGGGUUAUUAUGUGUUUUCACGAAGUUUUCGUUUAGUCAUUAAAUUUCCGAUUAAAAGGAAACCAGCAAGUACACGGAAUUAACAACCAGGCGGAGAAAUGGUGUCACUUAGCAACUGGAAGGCCCGUCUCCUACACCCCCCCCCCCCUUCCCUCCCUUUCCCAGUGUAAGUGGAGUACUCACAAUCAAGGUGCUUCUUCUUGGGGCCCAUCACUUCAUGUGUGGUGGCUUUACAGGCUGCCUUGGUAACAGCUGAGCCGGUGACACUGUGCUGGGCUGCGGUGAUCCGGUCCGUGAUCGACUGACCCGACAUGAUGACCCUUCUCAGGUGCGAGGAGGGCUUGGCUCUCCUGUGGACAGAAAAACAGAGUUACUGUUUUGAGUCUAAUAUCAUUCUUGUUUGAAACCGAGCAGAACUGCAUGAUUGAAAGAGAAUGGUGUGGAUUCUUGUCCCCCAAGCAUCAAAACCAGCAUUGCAAAAUAAAAUCACAUGGUCUAUAAAUGGAAUUUGAUGUGAGUCAAUUUUAAAUUGGACUUUGAAAACAGGAUAUGAGGAAACACACCAGUGCCUACCUUUUAAGAGGUGGGAAAAAGAAAAGAAACUAAACACCACCUUGGUUACGGACAAUGGAGGAGAACAGUAAAAAUUAUUUGAUCCACCUCUCCCUCUUGUCUGUGACGCUGCCACCUUUCAGGAUUUAAAGAUGCUGAAGCCACUUUUACAGCUACUGAGAAGAUCAAUUGAACCAGUGGACGCAGAUCACAUUUGAAGAUGGAUAACUUUCAAACAAAUCUGUGGAAAUUAUUAAUUCAAUGAACAAAAAAGCAAUCUGUGUAAUAGACUCCCUUUAAAAAAUGGUGAAAGCAAACAGAAAUGAUUGACUCAAACGUAUAUAUUUAUGUUAUAAAACAGUAAAAGAUUAAAAGGAUACCGUAUAUGAGUAAUCUGAGAUUGACGUAUAAGUGCAGCAUGUUUGGGAGGAUCAGGUGACUUUGUAACUAUGGUACACACAGCUCCAUACCAUUGGGGUUUUCCAUGCCUCAUGUCAAGGCAUGUUGUAGAUUAUAAAUAAAAGAUUUAUUGCUAUGAUUA